AUUGAACGCUGGCGGCAGGCCUAACACAUGCAAGUAGAACGAGUGGCGGUCGGGUGAGUAAGGUCAGGGAAACUGCCUGAUGGAGGGGGAAAGGUACUAGCAACGGUAGCUAAUACCGAAUAACAUCGGAUGUGCCCAUAUGGGAUUAGCUAGUAGGUGGGGGAAAGGCUGACCUAGGAGACGAUCCCUAGCUGGUCUGAGAGGAUGACCAGCCACACUGGAACUGAGACACGGUCCAGACUCCUACGGGAGGCAGCAGUGGGGAAUAUUGCACAAUGGGCGCAAGCCUGAUGCAGCCAUGCCGCGUGUAUGAAGAAGGCCUUCGGGUUGUAAAGUACUUUCAGCGGGGAGGCGUUACCCGCAGAAGAAGCACCGGCUAACUCCGUGCCAGCAGCCGCGGUAAUUC
rnacentral:rRNA from 1 species